CCCAGUGGUUAGUCAGCUAUCCAGUGCCAAUCCGUGCCUGUGAUAGUGUUACAUUGCUGGGAGAUCAAGACAAUGCACCCAAUGCUUGUGUCCCACUGUUACUGUUCUGGUGACAUGUAGCACUUGCAACUAAGCAUUGUUGUACUUCCUCGAGUGCGCCAAACAUCUACCAUGUUUGUUUUGAAGCUAGUCUGGAAGCACACAGA
rnacentral:snoRNA from 1 species